UAGCAAGUACAGCAACACAAUUGUGUCCCCAUAGAAUUCUGUUGCUGUACUUGCUGCA
rnacentral:pre_miRNA from 1 species